ensembl:processed_transcript
GCUGCUGCCGGAGCCCUGCGCAUCCUCCUGCUUGAUUUUUAGCUGUAAGAUUUUACGACACUGAUUUAUUUAUUUCUUAACGGCUUUACUUUAGCAAAUAAACCGCGGAUGCAUCGAAAAGACAACCGUAAGCCCCGUAGACCUUGAGAUUAACUUGUUCUCACGUUUUUUUUUUUUUUUUGUGAGUGCUGUCGUUUGAAUGAAAUGGAUGUUCUGGAUGUUUUUUUGUAAAACGCUGGAUGGGAAAUGAAAUCGAAAAUGAGACUGUGGGAGAAAUCAGUGAUAAAACACAACCCAAAUGACCACAGAUUAGGAGUCGGAAGACGAGCAGAGAGUGGGAGUAGCGAUAGUGGUGGAGGAGUGAACCCGGAGCAGGUGAACACAGCUGCGGACCGCCAUGGGCUCUCUUCCAUCGGUCCCGACUCUCCGUCUUCAGGUCUCUGAGAGACGGCAGGGGCCAGCCAGGGAGCGUCGGAGUGGGCAGGAGAGGCAGCUCGCUUUCCCCGCCGGCUACCGACUCCUCAGCAGCGAGGAGGGAGAGAAAUCAAUACUGAGGAGAGAUGCUGCCAGGGGUCGCCCAACGCUGCCUCCAGCCAUGGAGCCAUGGGAGCUCGUGUGUUCAGCUUUCUCUCUCUCAGCCCAUUCUCAGUCAACUAGCAUCAGCUAAAGAGAGGGCCAACAGCCUUGACGCUCUUCAUGCAACGCCGAGUGUGUGUGUAUGCGUGUGUGGUUCUGCCAGAGGGCCUUUCCAGGCUCAGCAUCACUUGAUAAAACUUUGCCUGCUGGAGAAUGAGUAGAAAAAGAAUGUCAAAGGUCUUUUUUUCCCCCGUCUUUGAUUCCUUUUUCGCCAUGAGUGCACAUUCCCCCUGACUGUUGUAAUGAGUGCUUGACGGAGAUCUCUUUUACGCUAAAUCAAGAGGCCUUCUUUUUUUAGUGGUCCUCCUCCUAAGCAUGCACAAAGUGCUCUACACCUGAUGGGCCAGGAUGAGAGAGCAGUAUGAAUCCUUUUUCACCUUUUCCACAA